rnacentral:sRNA from 17 species
CCUGUGGAGUGUCAAACAAACCGUAGUAGAUAUAUAUCGAGGCGGGACACGUUGAAGCAGGAA